rnacentral:rRNA from 1 species
GAUGAACGCNGGCGGCGUGCUUAACACAUGCAAGUCGAACGGAAAGGCCCCAGCUUGCUGGGGUGCUCGAGUGGCGAACGGGUGAGUAACACGUAAGUGAUCUGCCCUGCACUGGGGGAUAAGCUUGGGAAACUGGGUCUAAUACCCUAUAGGACCGCAUCGUGGUUGGUGUGGUGGAAAGGUUUUUCUGGUGUGGGAUGAGCUUGCGGCCUAUCAGCUUGUUGGUGGGGUAAUGGCCUACCAAGGCGGCGACGGGUAGCCGGCCUGAGAGGGUGUGCGGCCACAUUGGGACUGAGAUACGGCCCAGACUCCUACGGGAGGCAGCAGUGGGGAAUUUUGCACAAUGGGCGGAAGCCUGAUGCAGCGACGCCGUGUGGGGGAUGAAGGCCUUCGGGUUGUAAACUCCUUUCGUCAGGGACGAAGUUUUUUUGACGGUACCUGGAUNAGAAGCACCGGCUAACUACGUGCCAGCAGCCGCGGUAA